GGACGACCGCUGGCGGCGUGCUUAACACAUGCAAGUCGAACGGAAAGGCCCUGCUUGCAGGGUACUCGAGUGGCGAACGGGUGAGUAGCACGUGGGUGAUCUGCCCUGCACUUCGGGAUAAGCCUGGGAAACUGGGUCUAAUACCGGAUAGGAGCCAUUUUUAGUGUGAUGGUUGGAAAGUUUUUUCGGUGUAGGAUGAGCUCGCGGCCUAUCAGCUUGUUGGUGGGGUAAUGGCCUACCAAGGCGGCGACGGGUAGCCGGCCUGAGAGGGUGGACGGCCACAUUGGGACUGAGAUACGGCCCAGACUCCUACGGGAGGCAGCAGUGGGGAAUAUUGCACAAUGGGCGCAAGCCUGAUGCAGCGACGCCGCGUGGGGGAUGACGGCCUUCGGGUUGUAAACUCCUUUCGCUAGGGACGAAGCUUUUUGUGACGGUACCUAGAUAAGAAGCACCGGCUAACUACGUG
rnacentral:rRNA from 1 species